rnacentral:rRNA from 1 species
UACGUAGGGGGCUAGCGUUGUCCGGAAUCAUUGGGCGUAAAGCGCGCGUAGGCGGCCCGGUAAGUCCGCUGUAAAAGUCAAAGGCUCAACCUUUGAAUGUCAGUGGAUACUGCCGGGCUAGAGUCCGGAAGAGGCGAGUGGAACUCCUGGUGUAGCGGUGGAAUGCGCAGAUAUCAGGAAGAACACCGACGGCGAAGGCAGCUCGCUGGGACGGUACUGACGCUGAGGCGCGAAGGCGUGGGGAGCGAACAGG